rnacentral:rRNA from 1 species
AUCUCUGUAGAGUCUGCAUAUCAAUAAGCGGAGGAAAAGAAACUAACUAAGGAUUCCCUCAGUAACGGCGAGUGAAGCGGGAAGAGCUCAAAUUUGAAAUCUUCAAGGUUCUACCUUGACGAAUUGUAGUUUAAAGAAGUGUUUUCUGUUAGAUGAGUAGCAAAAGUUCCUUGGAAUGGGACAUCAUAGAGGGUGAGAAUCCCGUAUUUGGUUAUUCAUUCUAGCUUUGUGAUACACUUUCAAAGAGUCGGAUUGUUUGGGAAUGCAGUCCAAAAUGGGUGGUAAAUUUCAUCUAAAGCUAAAUAUUGGCGAGAGACCGAUAGCGAACAAGUACCGUGAGGGAAAGAUGAAAAGAACUUUGAAAAGAGAGUUAAAUAGUACGUGAAAUUGUCAAAAGGGAAGCGUUUGACACCAGUGUUGUUUUCUCGAAAAUCAAUUAAGAAUGGCAUGAUUUUGUGUUGUAUUGACCUUAUCAGCUUUCUUCACUCUUUUCUUAGUCUUUUUUAAUGCACUUUUCGGUUAACAAGUCAACAUCAAUUUCUUUUGUUGUAAAAGGGUCAUUGGAAGGUGGCUUUCUCUUCGGAGAAAGUGUUUAUAGCCUUUGGCCUCUGCAAUCGGAGAGAUUGAGGUCUGCAGCGUAGAUCCUUCGGGGUUAGAUACAUUUGUGCUAAGUUAUAGCCUUUCAUAGACAACUUGUUGACUAUGAUCAGUCAUGUAACUUACUCGCUUAUGCUAUUUUACCUACGCUUAGGAUGUUGAAGAUGUAGCACAUCAU